rnacentral:lncRNA from 1 species
AAUACGACCUAAGAACCAUAUUAUUCUCCCUGCCAGGAUCGUUCCUUAUUUUUUGCAUUUUUCGGCCAAACAACUAGAAUUCCGCGCGAUUCCCAUAUUUUUGAGUGUUAUAGCCCACGCCAUCCGAGGGGUCCCGGGACCUCCGGACCCCGAUCGCCUAAAAAUUUUCCGAACUAUCAAAUACGACCUAUUAAACCAUAGUAUCCGCCCCGCCAUGAUCGUUCCUCAUUUUUUGCGUUUUUCGGCUAAAAAACUAUAAUUCCGCCCGAUUACAAUAUUUUUGUGUGCUAUUGCCCACCCUUCCAAGUGGUUCCGGGACCCCCGGACCCCGAUCGCCUAUAAUUUUUCCGGGUCGUCAAAUACGACCUAAGGAACCAUAGUAACCGCCUUGCGAUCAUCGUUUCUCAUUUUUUGCAUUUUUCGGCCAAAAAACUAGAAUUACGCCCGAUUCCCAUAUUUUCGUGUGCUAUACCCACGCCUUCCAAGUGGUCCGGGGAGCCGCGGACCCCUAUCGCCUAAAAUUUUUCCGGACUAUCAAAUAAGACCUAAGGAACCAUAGUCACCUCCCAGCCAUGAUCGUUCCUAGUUUUUUCCGUUUUUCGGCCAAAUAACUAGAAUUCUGCGCGAUUCGCAUAUUUUCGUGUCCUAUAGCCCACGCCUUCCAAGUGAACCCGGGAACUCCGG